UACGUAGGGUGCAAGCGUUGUCCGGAAUUAUUGGGCGUAAAGAGCUCGUAGGCGGUUUGUCGCGUCGAAUGUGAAAACCCGGGGCUCAACUCCGGGCCUGCAUUCGAUACGGGCAGACUAGAGUUCGGUAGGGGAGUCUGGAAUUCCUGGUGUAGCGGUGAAAUGCGCAGAUAUCAGGAAGAACACCCGUGGCUAAGGCGGCUCUCUAGUACGGUACUGACGCUGAGACGCGAAAGCGUGGGGAGCAAACAGG
rnacentral:rRNA from 1 species